rnacentral:rRNA from 1 species
GAUGAACGCUGGCUACAGGCUUAACACAUGCAAGUCGAGGGGAAACGACGGGGAAGCUUGCUUCCCCGGGCGUCGACCGGCGCACGGGUGAGUAACGCGUAUCCAACCUGCCUCUGACUGAGGGAUAACCCGUCGAAAGUCGGCCUAAUACCUCAUGGUAUCGUCUGCGGGCAUCCAACGACGAUUAAAGAUUUCAUCGGUCAGGGAUGGGGAUGCGUCUGAUUAGCUUGUUGGCGGGGUAACGGCCCACCAAGGCUACGAUCAGUAGGGGUUCUGAGAGGAAGGUCCCCCACAUUGGAACUGAGACACGGUCCAAACUCCUACGGGAGGCAGCAGUGAGGAAUAUUGAUCAAUGGGCGAGAGCCUGAACCAGCCAAGUAGCGUGCAGGAAGACGGCCCUAUGGGUUGUAAACUGCUUUUAUGCGGGGAUAAAGUGAGGGACGUGUCCCUCAUUGCAGGUACCGCAUGAAUAAGGACCGGCUAAUUCCGUG